ACAGGAAAUGUGGUCACUCGAUUUGCAUCCGCUCCGGUCUUCAAAAGGAGAGAGAAAUAGACCGUAGUCGCUCUGUGGUAGCAGCAGACGGAGCAGCAGUAACUUUACCCUCCUCUCUUUGAGACUUCGUUCCCCAUGGGUAUAACGAGGGCGCAGUGAGGAACCCUUCCUCUGUCUGCUCCAAUUUCUUUGUAAGUUCUUCAGGGCAGAGACUGUCGCUCACUGUGUGUCUCCACUGAGCUCUCAUCGCACACGGGGCCGCUACACACACUCAGAACGUCCGGUGGGAUUCCCAGUUCCCAUUACAGGAAAACUGUUAAGGUAACAUUACAUGACUCAUCCGCCCUCACUGGAGGAGCUCCCAGGACUAUUGCAGAGACGCUAAUAUAACCGAGACACGUCCUUCCCAACCCAGUUCCUCUGCCCUCAAGCCGUUUCUCUGUGUCACCGAGGCCAAGUCACUCAGCGCGUCUGCGCCGCAGCCGCCCAUCUCUAAAAUUCAGGUUGCGUUGCUUCUUCUGUGUGUCGUAGCUACUCAGACGGCAAAGCGUCCCAUCUCCUCUGGCGAGCCUACGUCCUCCAAAAUGUACCUUUGUUUUUCCAGGAGGCCUGAAGUGUGUCUCCUAACGUGUCUACUGGGGCUGAGAACUCGAAUUACACGUCACCGCCUUUCAGACACCUGCCGCCCCCUCCGGCAGUUUGUGUCGGGAGCCCAGGGCGCUCUGUAGCACGGUGGAUCCCAGAGAGUGCAGAAAUACACCGCCGAGUCAGCCCGCUGCGCCCCGUCUAUGGACAGCGUGAGAGACUUCGCUCCGGUGUCCAGCUGCGCCGAGAACCGAGGGGCCACAGAAUCGGAUUUGCGCUCCGAGCCAUAGGAGUAUCUUCCCAGCAGGAAGAGGGGUUCCUUCCCUGGCCUCUCCUGGUACCAGUCCAGGGCGUAGCUGCUGUAGGAGACACGGCCACCCGCUCCGGCUCUUCGGAUUUCUGUAACCACUGCGGGGAAGACAAUGAAUCGCAGCCACCGAUUCGACUCCUGGAGAAAUGAAGUUCCCGGGAGGUGGCAGCAACUUCUGUGUGAACUGGGGAUCCGGAAUUGGGAUGGGGGUAAAGCUCACACACUCCAGUAACACGUGGGAAAAGCUGUGUGUAUGUGAGUGUUUAUUUGUGUGUUUAUUCGUGCCUCUGUGUGUGUGUGCCCGCCUAUGUCAGUGUGCAUGUGUGUGGGUGUGUCAGUCCGCCUCUGGAUCCGAGUGUGCGUGCCCUGCCUGUCUGUCCCUGCGCGUGUCCCCAUGAGGGUGCGAGCGCAGUCUCUCUCUCUCUCUCUAGUGUCUGCAGCACACACAACAGUCACACCCAGCCGCGCCCUGCCUGCGAUGCUGUCCCUUCUGCUCCACAGAGCCAGGGGGUGCGGGGCCGCGCCUGGCGCCGCCUUUCUGUCCCUGCUGCUGCCCCUUUGGCAUCACUAGGGAGGGGGGGGGGGAAGGUGGGUCCAGGCUGCGGGGCGUGGGUGAGGCUUACAUGCUGGGGGAAUGGGUGAAUGGGGGACGCUGGUCUGGGCUGAGGAAGGAAUGAGGGACAGAGGAAUGGAGGGCAGGGGGGAAAUGGGAAUGCGGCUGCACACAGAGCCACAGGGAUGGGGCAAAUAUGGGGAGGGGGAGGCACCUGGUAGGGGAGGAGGUGGGAAUGGGGGAUGCUCCAGCAGGGAAGAGCCCGGGGAGUCCCUGAAAAAAGAGGGGGUCGGAAGGCGGCAGACAGGGAGUUUGUGUAGGGGAGGGAGUGAUGCAGGAGACCCCCGGGGGGGGGGGAAUACGCUGAGCCUGCACAAGGUAGGAAGUGUGCAACCCCCUGCUUGUAAACAAUAACACACCUCUUGGUGCCCUCUGAGACGUGGCUCCCCUCCCACCGGUGCACGUAGGGGAAAUGACUCAUCUCCCUUCGUUUUGGAGACCGCCCCCCGCCCUCCUGCAGUUUGUGUCGGGAGCUCGGGACGCUCUGUAGCCCGGUGGAUCCCAGAGAGCGCAGAAAUACACCGCCGAGUCAGCCCGCUGCGCCCAGUCUAUGGACAGCGUGAGAGACUUCGCUCCGGUGUCCAGCUGGGAGGAGAACCGAGGGGCCACCGAACCGGGCUUGUAUUCAUUUCCCCUCUCAUUUCUGUGCAGUAGGAACAGAGGUUGCUGCCCAGGCAGCUGCUGGUACCACCCCAGGGCGUAGUACGUGUACGUGGUGCUGCAUUGACAGGACAGUUUCACGGGCCGCCCUGCCCUGGCUGACGCAGACGCUGGAAUCUGGGUCCCGGAGUUCCCAGCCACGGGACCUAGCAGGAGAACAGUGGAGGCAGAGUAAGACCCGUGAGUUAGAAAACACUCAGUCUAACUGCCAGUAAAUUUAAACCACUUACUGAGGAGAAAUAGGCAGACAGCGAUCCACAUCUCGUCUCUACCGCUGUCACACACAGAAUGAUUCCUCUGCUGUGUUGUCCGAUCUAUUCACAGUCAAGGACCCACUCCCCCUCGUGGGAGGGCUGUGAAAAGACAGAGGGAGAAAUUCUGCCCAAGAAGCCACCCGGAGACAAUGGGAAGGAGUGUUUUUUUCUUAAACUAGAUCUCCUCGGAGUAGGUGUAUAACUUCGUUAUAUUUUUAUUUUUUGCAAGCAAAUAAACUAGGUUACCAUUUC